rnacentral:tRNA from 1 species
GGUCUGUAGCUCAGUGGUAGAGCACCUGCCUAGCACAUGUGAGACAUUGGGUUCGAUCCUCAGCACCA